rnacentral:rRNA from 1 species
CGCGUAGGGCGCAAGCGUUGUCCGGAAUUAUUGGGCGUAAAGAGCUCGUAGGCGGUCUGUUGCGUCCGCUGUGAAAACUCGGGGCUUAACCCCGAGCCUGCAGUGGAUACGGGCAGACUAGAGGUAGGUAGGGAGAAUGGAAUUCCCGGUGUAGCGGUGAAAUGCGCAGAUAUCGGGAGGAACACCGGUGGCGAAGGCGGGUCUCUGGGCCGAUACUGACGCUGAGGAGCGAAAGCGUGGGGAGCGAACAGG